CUUACUGUGUUGUUAAGAGGCUGUCUGUGUCCACUACUUUAUUAGAUAAGUGCAGUCCAUAGACAUUACAUCAGAGAAAGGAAAGGUCAUAUCUUAUUGUUUAACCCCGCCCCCUAUCACCCAGGUUAACAGGAAGUACUCAAUACUUGAAGUCAGUUGUAGAUAAAGUACCUUUAACUUUGUCUGGAGUAGAUUCACAGAUCAGAACUUUUACUUCUACUCCAGUAACACGUCAUCAGAGUCACUGUUCCUUUAUUUUAGUAUUUUAGAACUCUGUUCAUCCCUGGCAGGAACUUAGUUUGAGUCAACAGCAAUUACAGAGAGCAAUGGGUGACUACAUCCAUGUUUGAUAAGUAUAAACUAUAUUAUGUGACCUUUAUGAUCCAUUUAAAAAAAAGUUUAAUUCUAUUAACUCAGCCUGAAUUUUUACAUCAUGGACCUGUGCUGAUGAAACGGCUGCUCCUGUGGAAGGCUGGGAAAGUGACGUCAUUUGAAGGUUGAGCCGCCUGUGUGCAGCUAUUCAAGAGGAGUGAGAGUCUAAUCUCUGAUGGACUGAUGCUGUUUGGUUAGAGAACAGACUCUGAACAGACCCCUGUGGACAGAAGAGUGUGUGUGUGUUUCAGAAGGACUGUGCUGUGUGUACUUUAUGUCUUCAAAAUGUUAUUUGAUGAACGUCUGGUGUUAAACGCCACUUUGAGACUAAGCAAGCUAAUUCCUCUGAGGAUGAAGAUGAGACUGAAUCCAUCAAACGUGCUGUGUGGAGGUUUGGGAACCAAGCUUACAGCCUCAACCUACCAAGUCCAGCCAAAGCAUUGCUCACUGCACGAUGGUUAAUAUAUGAAGGAGGUGUUUCUCUGUAGCUCAGAGGGUUUGUUUGAUGGCUCACCAAACAAAGAGAGAAUCAAAUCAAGAAUAAAAUACUUUUUCAUGUCA